rnacentral:rRNA from 1 species
GAUGAACGCUGGCGGCGUGCCUAAUACAUGCAAGUCGAGCGAACAGACGAGGAGCUUGCUCCUCUGACGUUAGCGGCGGACGGGUGAGUAACACGUGGAUAACCUACCUAUAAGACUGGGAUAACUUCGGGAAACCGGAGCUAAUACCGGAUAACAUGUUGAACCGCAUGGUUCAACAGUGAAAGACGGUUUUGCUGUCACUUAUAGAUGGAUCCGCGCCGCAUUAGCUAGUUGGUAAGGUAACGGCUUACCAAGGCAACGAUGCGUAGCCGACCUGAGAGGGUGAUCGGCCACACUGGAACUGAGACACGGUCCAGACUCCUACGGGAGGCAGCAGUAGGGAAUCUUCCGCAAUGGGCGAAAGCCUGACGGAGCAACGCCGCGUGAGUGAAGAAGGUCUUCGGAUCGUAAAACUCUGUUAUUAGGGAAGAACAAAUGUGUAAGUAACUAUGCACGUCUUGACGGUACCUAAUCUGAAAGCCACGGCUAACUACGUG